rnacentral:tRNA from 1 species
AGAGAUAUAGCUCAGUGAUAGAGUGCGUGCUUGGCGUGCAUGAGGUCCUGGGUUCAGUGCCCAGUGCCUUCA